rnacentral:rRNA from 1 species
CAUGGGGACCGAAAGACCUGAUGACAUCCAUGACCGCGUGUGUGAAGAAUGCCUUCGGGUGUGUAUAGCACUUAUCAGACGAGGAGGAAAGGGAUGUAGUUAAUAACUGCAUGCUGUGACGUUACUCGCAGAAGAAGCACCGGCUAACUUCGUGCCAGCAGCCGCGGUAAUACGGGGGUGCAAGCGUUAAUCGGAAUUACUGGGCGUAAAGCGUGCGUAGGUGGUUUGUUAAGCAAAGAUGUGAAAUCCCCGGGCUCAACCUGGGAACUGCAUUUGAAACGUGGCAAGCUAGAGUUUUUGUAAGAGGGGUAGGUGGAAUUUCCCCAGGGUGAUAGCCGGGUGAAAUGCGUAGAGAUUGGAAGGAACAUCAGUGGCGAAGGCGGCUACCUGGACAAGGACUGACGACUGAGGCACGAAAGCGUGGGGAGCAAACAGGAUUAGAUACCCUGGUAGUCCACGCCGUAAACGAUGUCAACUAGCCGUCUGUGGUCUUGAAGCCGUGGGUGGCGUAGCUAACGCGCUAAGUUGACCGCCUGGUGGAGUAC